UACGUAGGGUGCGAGCGUUGUCCGGAAUUAUUGGGCGUAAAGGGCUCGUAGGCGGUUUGUCGCGUCGGGAGUGAAAUCCACUGGCUUAACUGGUGGCUUGCUUUCGAUACGGGCAGACUGGAGGUAUGCAGGGGAGAACGGAAUUCCUGGUGUAGCGGUGAAAUGCGUAGAUAUCUGGAGGAACACCGGUGGCGAAGGCGGCGUUCUGGACUGUUUCUGACACUGAAAAACGAAAGCCAGGGGAGCAAACGGG
rnacentral:rRNA from 1 species